rnacentral:rRNA from 1 species
GAUCAUUAGUGAAUAUUAGCGCAUCUACUUGUAGAGCGUGACCUCCACUUUCUAACUCUGUGCAUUUAUUGGCGGAAGGACUUGAGCAAUCGAGCUUCCUUCUGCGGCUCAUUUUAAAACACUAGUUAAAGUAUGUAACGAAAUAUCGAAACAAAAAAAACUUUCAACAACGGAUCUCUUGGCUUGCUCAUCGAUGAAGAACGCAGCGAAAUGUGAUAAGUAAUGUGAAUUGCAGAAUUCAGUGAAUCAUCGAAUCUUUGAACGCACCUUGCGCUCUCUGGUAUUCCGGAGAGCAUGUCUGUUUGAGUGUCAUGAACUCUUCAACCCACCAGUUUCUUGUAGACUGAAUGGUGUUUGGUUUCUGAGCGUUGCUGGUCUUCGGAUCUAGCUCGUUCGUAAUAUAUUAGCAUCUCUAAUUCGAACUCGGAUUGACUCAGUGUAAUAGACUAUUCGCUGAGGACACGCUCUUGUAGUGUGGCCGAAUGAGAUCUCAGUAGAAGCUUCCAACUACUUUAGUCAACUUUAGAUUAGACCUCAGAUCAGGCAGGAUU